CCUACGGGAGGCAGCAGUGGGGAAUAUUGGGCAAUGGGCGCAAGCCUGAACCAGCAACGCCGCGUGAAGGAAGAAGGCUUUCGGGUUGUAAACUUCUUUUAAGAGGGAAGAGAAGAAGACGGUACCUCUUGAAUAAGCCCCGGCUAAAUACGUGCCAGCAGCCGCGGUCAUACGUAGGUGGCAAGCGUUGUCCGGAUUUACUGGGUGUACAGGGCGUGCAGCCGGGCUGACAAGUCAGAUGUGAAAUCCAACGGCUCAACCGCGGAACAGCAUUUGAAACUGGCAGUCUUGAGUACCGGAGAGGUCAGCGGAAUGCGUGGUGUAGCGGUGAAAUGCGUAGAUAUAAGGAAGAACACCAGUGGCGAAGGCGGAUGACUGGACGGCAACUGACGGUGAGGCGCGAAAGCGUGGGGAGCAAACAGGAUUAGAUACCCGGGUAGUC
rnacentral:rRNA from 1 species